rnacentral:misc_RNA from 1 species
GUCGGAUUGUACAAUGUGAAGGUGGAGAGAAAAGUGUCACAAAAGCGAUUGGCAGAGCUUGGAUUCUCUAGAUGCUCAGCGUGGAAAACUGGCAAGCGCCGGCUGCCUUGGGACUGGCAGGUGGAUCAGUUGGCUUAUGUUGAAGGAGGAGAGGAGAGGUGAGGGUAGUUCAUGGAGUUAAAGUUACAUCCGGUUUGUGACAGGCGACUUAGUUCGUUCCACCAAGUGGUUGAGGCUGAUCUUUUCUUCAAUGGUCCAUGCCAGGAGCGUUAUAGUUUCCGAGCAUAUGGUGAUGACUAUUAAUCCCUACAUUGCAUUAGUGAUUGCGUCUC